rnacentral:rRNA from 1 species
GAUGAACGCUGGCGGCGUGCCUAAUACAUGCAAGUCGAGCGAACGGACGAGAAGCUUGCUUCUCUGAUGUUAGCGGCGGACGGGUGAGUAACACGUGGAUAACCUACCUAUAAGACUGGGAUAACUUCGGGAAACCGGAGCUAAUACCGGAUAAUAUUUUGAACCGCAUGGUUCAAAAGUGAAAGACGGUCUUGCUGUCACUUAUAGAUGGAUCCGCGCUGCAUUAGCUAGUUGGUAAGGUAACGGCUUACCAAGGCAACGAUGCAUAGCCGACCUGAGAGGGUGAUAGGCCACACGAGAACUGAGACACGGUCCAGACGCCUGCGGUACGCAGCAGUAGGGAAUCUUCCGCAAUAGUCGAGAGCCUGACGGAGCAACGCCGCGUGAGUUAUGAAGGUCUUCGGAUCGUAAAACUCUGUUAUUAGGGAAGAACAUAUGUGUAAGUAACUGUGCACAUCUUGACGGUACCUAAUCAGAAAGCCACGGCUAACUACGUG